rnacentral:rRNA from 1 species
GUGGGGAAUAUUGGACAAUGGGCGCAAGCCUGAUCCAGCCAUGCCGCGUGAGUGAUGAAGGCCUUAGGGUUGUAAAGCUCUUUCACCGAUGAAGAUAAUGACGGUAGUCGGAGAAGAAGCCCCGGCUAACUUCGUGCCAGCAGCCGCGGUAAUACGAAGGGGGCUAGCGUUGUUCGGAAUUACUGGGCGUAAAGCGCACGUAGGCGGAUAUUUAAGUCAGGGGUGAAAUCCCAGAGCUCAACUCUGGAACUGCCUUUGAUACUGGGUAUCUCGAGUAUGGAAGAGGUGAGUGGAAUUCCGAGUGUAGAGGUGAAAUUCGUAGAUAUUCGGAGGAACACCAGUGGCGAAGGCGGCUCACUGGUCCAUUACUGACGCUGAGGUACGAAAGCGUGGGGAGCAAACGGGAUUAGAAACCCUUGUAGUCC